rnacentral:rRNA from 1 species
GGCUCAGGAUGAACGCGGCGGCGUGCCUAAUACAUGCAAGUCGAACGAGGUGCUUUAUAGCAAUAUGAAGUAUCCUAGUGGCGAACGGGUGAGUAACGCGUUGGUGACCUACCCCAAAGUGUGGGAUAACAGUCCGAAAGGAUUGCUAAUACCGCAUGUGGUCUUCGGAUUUAGAAACUGAUGACUAAAGGAGCAAUUCGCUUUGGGAGGGACCUGCGUCCCAUCAGCUAGUUGGUGAGGUAAUGGCUCACCAAGGCGACGACGGGUAGGGGACCUGAGAGGGUGGCCCCCCACAAUGGAACUGAAACACGGUCCAUACACCUACGGGUGGCAGCAGUAGGGAAUAUUGCUCAAUGGGCGAAAGCCUGAAGCAGCAACGCCGCGUGUGUGAUGAAGGCCUUCGGGUCGUAAAACACUUUUCUGAGAGAUGAGAAAGGACAGUAUCUCAGGAAUAAGUCUCGGCUAACUACGUGCCAGCAGCCGCGGUAAAACGUAGGAGGCAAGCGUUAUCCGGAUUCACUGGGCGUAAAGCGCGUGCAGGCGGUGCGGUAAGUUGGGCGUGAAAUCUCCCGGCUCAACUGGGAGAGGUCGUCCAAUACUACCGUACUUGAGAGCAGAAGAGGAAAAUGGAAUUCCCGGUGUAGUGGUGAAAUGCGUAGAUAUCGGGAGGAACACCAGUGGCGAAGGCGAUUUUCUGGUCUGUUUCUGACGCUCAGACGCGACAGCUAGGGUAGUAAACGGGAUUAGAGACCCCGGUAAUCCUAGCCGUAAACGAUGUGAACUUGGCGUUGGUGGGUUAAACUCCAUCAGUGCCGUAGCAAACGCGAUAAGUUCACCGCCUGGGGACUACGGCCGCAAG